rnacentral:rRNA from 1 species
CUCUGUGACUCCUACGGGAGGCAGCAGUGGGGAAUAUUGCACAAUGGGCGCAAGCCUGAUGCAGCCAUGCCGCGUGUGUGAAGAAGGCCUUCGGGUUGUAAAGCACUUUCAGUUGUGAGGAAGGUGGUGUCGUUAAUAGCGGCAUCAUUUGACGUUACCUACAGAAGAAGCACCGGCUAACUCCGUGCCAGCAGCCGCGGUAAUACGGAGGGUGCGAGCGUUAAUCGGAAUUACUGGGCGUAAAGCGCAUGCAGGCGGCCUGUUAAGUCAGAUGUGAAAGCCCCGGGGCUUAACCUCGGAAUUGCAUUUGAAACUGGCAGGCUAGAGUCUUGUAGAGGGGGUAGAAUUUCAGGUGUAGCGGUGAAAUGCGUAGAGAUCUGAAGGAAUACCGGUGGCGAAGGCGGCCCCCUGGACAGAUACUGACACUCAGAUGCGAAAGCGUGGGGAGCAAACAGGAUUAGAUACCCUGGUAG